AUUUCACGAUGUAAUUGCCAGCACCGAAAUCAUCUGUGUUUCUCUUUCAUCUCUGUAGAUAUGCAGUUGGCUUCAACUGGCUUUUAGAUGGCGUCUUUUUUGGUGGUUUUCUCCCCAAACCCUUCUGUUCUUCCUUGUAUUUUCUCUUAUUUUUUAUGGCUUCGAUAUUAGUUAUUGGGAACAAAAUUGAUAUGUGCCCUCUCUAGAUUUCUCAGGCCUUGCCUCAUCUUCUCUUUUACCUGUUUUCCGUGUUUCCUUCCAGACGACGUAUUGUCUAGGGGAACUGAUUACUUGAGUUGAAGCACUUGGCUUUGCUAUUUUUGUUAGUGGAAGCUGACUGCAUCUUCAAGUUUGCAUGGAUCUGCUGAUCUAUUUCAAGCUUAUUAAUUAGAAACUCGAGUGGUUAGAUCACCUGCAGUGCAGCAAAUUUAAUUCGCCCGUACAUGCUCUUAUUAAAUAGUUAGAUACAGAUGAAAUAUAUUUUAUAGUAUUAGUUUAGAAAUAUAUUAAAAUAGUUUUAUUUUAUUUUUUAAAUUUCAGUUUUGCAAACACUUUCUUAAUAUUCAAGAUAACAUGAAUCAUAUAUAAGCUUGUCAUCCGUCAUAAGGUAUCUAUAGUUCAUAUGCUGACGAUUGCUCCCUUGUACUUUCCUGUUCUCUGCUUCUGAAAGAUAAUUUCACAAGAGUAACUUGUAAUUUAUUUUAAUCAGAAAAGGUUCCGUAAAAGGUCCAUGAUAUGUUAGGUUAAAUAUACUGACGUGCUUAUUUUUUCUAGAGCGUAUCUGUUUUGUUAGUUUUAUUUCAAUAAUUUCCUUAGGAACAAAAUGUGUUUAAAUUUUGUAGAUGUUCUUGUGUAUUCUUGUGUCCAGUAGGCAUAAUGGACAACAAUGAGGCCACUGGUUCUUUGUGUCGUUUGUACCAUCGGCAAGUGGAAGAGCACCAGGCCACGGAAAUUCCUGCGCAUCUUUAAGACUCCCAACUUCCAUGUCCUUCAUAGAAUGAGGAAAGGCGAAUUCGGUGGCUAUAUAUAGUGUUGUUAGGCAGGCGGGGUUGAUACUUGAUAGUCGAAGUUUCUUGCUGGGCUUCAAUAGUUGAUUUCAGAGCUUUUUGUGCUGAUGUUCUUCUGGCUGCAUGUAGUCAGAUUUCUUGAUCUCGUUUAUACACCAUCUUAUUGAUGGAUUUCCUCUCUAAUAACACUGUUUAUAUUCUUAUUAUACAAAAAGAA